rnacentral:sRNA from 1 species
GCGAGACUUUGGCCCAGCGACUCUAAACAACCGCUACCAGUCGACCUUCCGGGUCGGCAAUGCCACCACUCUGAGCCGGAAUGCCCCCCUGGGGCGCCCCGGCAGCUCCCGAGAAAGAGCCCACAGGUCAGACGGUGCCAGCUGCCCCUGGGGCAGUCGAGACAUGAUCGGCCCGCAGCUGAAAGCUGUAGGCAAUGCGGAACCUGCGGAAGGAUCAUUAAUGAAAGAAACGGGGGGACCCCCCACGCGGGGGUGGGCCCAAACCGGCUCCCUCCACCCCCCGACUUCUAUGCCCUCUGUGUACCCAUCCCUAUGUUGCUUUGGCGGGCCUUGGGGUCGUGCCCAUGCCGGCAGGGGCUUCCCCUGCUGGCGAGUGCCCGCCGGAGGUCUUCAAACAUCCCGUUGAAUCAGUGCAGUCCGAGCGAGAAUCGAAAAUCAAGCAAAAACUUUCAACAACGGAUCUCUUGGUUCUGGCAUCGAUGAAGAACGCAGCGAAAUGCGAUAAGUAAUGUGAAUUGCAGAAUUCAGUGAAUCAUCGAAUCUUUGAACGCACAUUGCGCCCCUCGGUAUUCCGGGGGGCAUGCCUGUUCGAGCGUCAUUAAACCCUUCAAGCGUAGCUUGGUGUUGGGCGGCCGUCCCUCCCGUGGGGGGACGCGCCCGAAAGCGAGUGGCGGUCCGGGGGGACUUCGAGCGCAGUAAAAUCAUCCACCCGCUCCGGAAGAUCCUCUCGGGGUGGCCAGUGACCCCGAACCUCUGACAAUUGACCUCGGAUCAGGUAGGGAUACCCGCUGAACUUAAGCAUAUCAAUAAGCGGAGGAAAAGAAACCA